rnacentral:lncRNA from 1 species
UGCAGACAAGCUUCGUCCGGACUCCUACGGGAGCCGGACUCCAUCUUCUACUUCGACUGUAGACAAGCUUCGUCCGGACUCCUAUGGGAGCCGGACUCCGUCUUCUACUUCGACCGCAGACAGCCUUCGUCCGGACUCCUAUGAAAGCCGGACUUCAUCCCCAACCUCAAUUGCUGGAAGGCUUCGCCCGGACUUCCACGGGAGCUGAGCUCCGUCCUCGACCUCGACUGCUGGUAAGCUUCGUCCAGACUCCUACGGAAGCCGGACUUCGCCCUCGACUUUGAUCGAAUGAAGACUCCAUCCGAACUCCUACAGGAGCCAGACUUCGUCCUCGACCU